rnacentral:rRNA from 1 species
AUUGAACGCUGGCGGCAUGCUUUACACAUGCAAGUCGAACGGCAACAGGCCUUCGGGUGCUGACGAGUGGCGAACGGGUGAGUAAUGCAUCGGAACGUACCCAGAGGUGGGGGAUAACGCAGCGAAAGCUGUGCUAAUACCGCAUGUGAUCUGAGGAUGAAAGCGGGGGACCGAGCAGCAAUGUUUGGCCUCGCGCCUUUGGAGCGGCCGAUGUCGGAUUAGCUAGUUGGUGGGGUAAAGGCCUACCAAGGCGACGAUCCGUAGCUGGUCUGAGAGGACGACCAGCCACACUGGGACUGAGACACGGCCCAGACUCCUACGGGAGGCAGCAGUGGGGAAUUUUGGACAAUGGGCGCAAGCCUGAUCCAGCAAUGCCGCGUGCGGGAAGAAGGCCUUCGGGUUGUAAACCGCUUUUGGCGGGAACGAAACGGUGUCCGCUAAUACCGGGCGCUAAUGACGGUACCUGCAGAAUAAGCACCGGCUAACUACGUG